GAUGAACGCUGGCGGCGUGCCUAAUACAUGCAAGUCGAGCGAACAGACGAGGAGCUUGCUCCUCUGACGUUAGCGGCGGACGGGUGAGUAACACGUGGGUAACCUACCUAUAAGACUGGGAUAACUUCGGGAAACCGGAGCUAAUACCGGAUAAUAUUUUGAACCGCAUGGUUCGAUAGUGAAAGACGGUUUUGCUUUCACUUAUAGAUGGAUCUGCGCCGCAUUAGCUAGUUGGUAAGGUAACGGCUUACCAAGGCAACGAUGCGUAGCCGACCUGAGAGGGUGAUCGGCCACACUGGAACUGAGACACGGUCCAGACUCCUACGGGAGGCAGCAGUAGGGAAUCUUCCGCAAUGGGCGAAAGCCUGACGGAGCAACGCCGCGUGAGUGAUGAAGGUCUUCGGAUCGUAAAACUCUGUUAUUAGGGAAGAACAAACGUGUAAGUAACUGUGCACGUCUUGACGGUACCUAAUCAGAAAGCCACGGCUAACUACGUG
rnacentral:rRNA from 1 species